CAAGUAAGUAAAUCCCCCGUCUAAUGGAGGACAUCACUGCAACUCGAAGAAGACAAAACUGUGAGUGAGUGAAACCCUGCAGACAUUUCAGUCUCUUUCCGGUCUCCUGAAAAGACCCUCGCACCAAAUCAACCCUCUUUUGUUCAUAGUAGGAACAACAACACAGGUUGCGAUGAGACGAACAAGUGCACAGCUGCCGGAGGCUACUGCUUCCGAGAAGACGGUCCCCACGUGUGCCCCGGGAAGGUCUUCAAAUUCUGUGGUCAUGGGAACUGUCACUGUUGCGUGGAUCCUUUCGGGCACGGGCACGGGAAUGGGAAUGGUCGGUAAUGGAAAGGAUUCAAACGAAAGUGGCUAACCCUUGCAACCAGAGGAGUGAGAACUGGCAUUGUCCCCUGCUAGACUGAGAACCAUUUAUUGAGAUUCCUAAUUUGACUGAAAACUUUCUUUUAUUCCUAAUUAUAAAUUGAAGAAUCAUAAAUUGAAGACUUUUGUUAUUUCUGAAAUAUGUUUUAUGAUUAUUCUGCAAAUAAAUUUAGCAUGCAAAA